GAUAAAAGUAACACAAAACUUCACUAAAAAGUUGUGCAACUUUCCUAAUUUGGUAGAAGAGAUAAAUGUUUGCAAGUUUGCACAUUCUCCUCUUUNNNNNNNNNNCACCAAGUAGUGCAAUAAAUGACCAGCCACAGCAGUCUGUCACGGCAGUCUCCCGUUCUUACCUGCAACAGCAAAGGAACAUGCUGAGAGAGGUGGCGUGUGAGGCUACUACUGGAAGGUUUCCAGACCUAUUCAUGCUGGCAGCUCUAUUCUUAACAGCCAAGAGAGACCUCUUACCCAGCAUCUGAUCUUUACAGCAAGAAAUGGUCCUUAUUCUCUAUGACCCAGUGCAGUGUGACCCCCUAACCUGAUACACGGUAGUUCUUCACAACUUGACUACAAGUAGAAAAUUAGAGUUUUCCAGGCUUAAGAGCCUGUUGGACUUUUAUGAAAUACAGGUAAAUAAAAUACGUGUUUAAUCAUCA
rnacentral:lncRNA from 1 species